rnacentral:rRNA from 1 species
CAUGCAUGUCUAAGUAUAAAUAGUAUACAGUGAAACUGCGAAUGGCUCAUUAAAACAGUUAUAGUUUAUUUGAUAAUUGAAUUAUACAUGGAUAACCGUGGUAAUUCUAGAGCUAAUACAUGCAGUAAAGCCUGACUCUUUGGAAGGGCUGUAUUUAUUAGAUAUCAAACCAAUAUUCCUUCGGGUCUAUUGUGAUGAUUCAUAAUAACUGAUCGAAGCUUAGCUAGGCUAAGCUAAAUCAUUCAAGUUUCUGCCCUAUCAGCUUUCGAUGGAAGUGUAUUGGACUUCCAUGGCAGUCACGGGUAACGGGGAAUUAGGGUUCGAUUCCGGAGAGGGAGCCUGAGAAACGGCUACCACAUCUAAGGAAGGCAGCAGGCGCGUAAAUUACCCAAUCCUGACUCAGGGAGGUAGUGACAAGAAAUAACAACUCGGGGCCUCACGGCUUACGAGAUUGCAAUGAGAACAAUUUAAACCACUUAUCUAGGAACAAUUGGAGGGCAAGUCUGGUGCCAGCAGCCGCGGUAAUUCCAGCUCCAAUAGCGUAUAUUAAUGUUGUUGCAGUUAAAAAGCUCGUAGUUGAAUUUCUGGUUAAAAUAUUAGCUGGCUUUGGUCGUUAAUAUUUUAAUCAUCCGUUAGAGAACUAUAGCCGUCCUUAAUUGGUCACUAUAGAGAUCUAACAUUUUACUUUGAAAAAAUUAGAGUGUUCAAGGCAGGCAAUCGUCAUGAAUACUAUAGCAUGGAAUAAUGGAAUAGGACUUUGGUUCAUUUUAUUGGUUAUUGAACCUUAGUAAUGAUUAACAGGGACAGUUGGGGGCAUUAGUAUUUAAUUGUCAGAGGU